GACGAACGCUGGCGGCGUGCUUAACACAUGCAAGUCGAGCGGUAAGGCCCUUUCGGGGGUACACGAGCGGCGAACGGGUGAGUAACACGUGGGUGACCUGCCCUCAGCUCUGGGAUAAGCCUGGGAAACCGGGUCUAAUACUGGAUAUGACUCCAUGACGCAUGUUGUGGGGUGGAAAGCCUUGUGCGGCUGAGGAUGGGCCCGCGGCCUAUCAGCUUGUUGGUGGGGUGAUGGCCUACCAAGGCGACGACGGGUAGCCGGCCUGAGAGGGCGACCGGCCACACUGGGACUGAGACACGGCCCCAGACUCCUACGGGAGGCAGCAGUGGGGAAUCUUGCGCAAUGGGCGAAAGCCUGACGCAGCGACG
rnacentral:rRNA from 1 species